UCCAGCCCCUCUUCCCCCGCCCCGCGCUGCGGCAACGCCGUGCGCCUGCGCCGCAGAGUCGCGCACGCGCGCCGCCGCCACAGGCUUGAGGACCGUGGUCGUGCGGGGAGGCGACCCCGAAGGAAGAAGCGGUGCGGAAACCUGGACAGGAGGAAUCUCGAGAAAGUGGUGGACAGGAAGCAGUUAGAGGAAAGUGCGGUGUAGGCGCAUUCGUGGCUAAGGCGACAGCUCGGGCCCGGCAGGCUUCUGAGCCGCCCUGCGCGGUUGCCAGUUCUCUUUAAACACAGACCUUAACACCGCAUAGCUCAGCUUGCAGCCUGCAGCGGCCUCCGUUUGACCACGGCUCCUACUCCUCUGUGUAGAAACACCAUCUUGUAUCUUUUUACUCAGGCGUUUUGAAUGGCUUUCGGCCUCAGCUUCAUUCUCUUCCGCCUCUUUCUUGGAUCACUUCCAAAUG